rnacentral:misc_RNA from 1 species
AAGUCGUAACAAGGUCUCCGUAGGUGAACCUGCGGAGGGAUCAUUAAAACGUAUCCACGUAUAAACCUUAGUGAACCUGUUUGUAUAACCCGAAUCUCAGUGUUGGCGCGCCAGACUGUAGAAGCGAUCAGGAGUUAGCUUUUAUACAGUUAGUCGACAUCUGUGGGUCUCCUAUUUUUUUAACUUAUUUUCACCUCAUGUACCUUUUAUAUGUACUAACGAGUUUAAUGCUAACGCAUUUUACUUGAAAAAAAUAAGAAAUUAACGCACAACUCUUAGCAACGGAUAUCUAGGCUCUC